rnacentral:rRNA from 1 species
CAGUCGCCACGGUAAUACGUAGGGCGCAAGCGUUGUCCGGAAUUAUUGGGCGUAAAGAGCUCGUAGGCGGUUUGUCGCGUCUGCUGUGAAAGCCCGGGGCUUAACCCCGGGUGUGCAGUGGGUACGGGCAGACUUGAGUGCAGUAGGGGAGACUGGAAUUCCUGGUGUAGCGGUGAAAUGCGCAGAUAUCAGGAGGAACACCGAUGGCGAAGGCAGGUCUCUGGGCUGUUACUGACGCUGAGGAGCGAAAGCAUGGGGAGCGAACAGGAUUAGAUACCCCCGUAGUCCCUGUCUCUUAUAC